AAAGAGCAGGAGGCAUGUACAAUUUUCCAAAGACAAAUGAAAUUGGAGAUAGAAGGCCAGAUGUGAUGGUUCACACAUGUAACCCCAGCCUUUUGGGAGGCCAAAGCAGGAGGAUCUCUUGAGGUCAGGAUGAGACCAGCCUGGGGCAACAACGAAAAAAUCCAUCUCUACAAAAAACUUAAAACAAAAAAUUAGCUGAGCAUGUUGUCAUGUGCCUGUGGUCCCAGCUACUCAGGAGGCUGAGGUGGGAGGAUUGCUUAAGCCCAGAAGUUUGAAGCUGCAGUGAGCUGUGAUUGCACCACUGCGCUCCAGCCUGAGUGACAGAGUGAGACCUUGUCUCUGGAAAAAAAAAAAAAAAAAAAUUGAGCAUAGGAAAGAAAAAUCUACCUCACUAAUCCCUUACUAAAGUGGGAUGGAUGGCCAAACAAACUUUCUGGUGGCUGUUAAGAAGAACAAAAUUCUUUGCAGAAGCACGUGCCAGUGUUUUACAAUGCACAGCACACAUCGAGGCCUGCGGCACACACUGGAACACAAUCGGAUUCUGGAGCUCUAGGGACAAAGAGCACUGCUAAUUUGUGCAGCCGCUGCCUUAGAAUGGUGAGCAGGGAGGACACUCUAAGGAGAGGGAGUCAGGGCAUCAGCGCAAAUUGGUUUUCCAGGCGAAGGAAGGGGAAAGCCUCAUCUUGGAAGAAAUUUCAGUUUCUGUGGACCUGUGGACCUGAUGUCGGGUUACCUCGCCCCUCCCCAGCAGGAGCCGAAUGCCCGUGCCUUCUCUCCUGGAAAGCUGCCUUUCUAAGCUAGAGAACUGCUGCCACAAACCGAUUCUGAGAGGAAGGGAAUGUACUCUUCAUAUUUGUAGAGAAAACCAGGAAGUGAGGAGUCGCAGCCCCGGCUUCCUGGUCGGGCUGCUGACUCACACUGUCAUCCUUUAAGCGAUUUCCUUCAUUUCUUUGCACCUCAGUUUCUCAGUUAAAUGAAGGAUGAAAAUGCAAUUCCCCUAGAGACAUUGGCAAUACCUCAUUCAUGUUUGCAUUUCUUUGCGAUAACUGGGAUUAGAGAUCUGAUUACUGCAAAGCAGCAUUACAUGGAAGAUUCCAUCUUUAUUGUCAACUUGAGGCCUAUCUUUGAAUGAAUAUCGUUCAAGGUCUUUUGGUCACCUUUCCCACUAUUCAUUCCAUGCUGCCCCCUCCCCACUCCAUCUAUUCUUUUCCAUGGUGACUUCAAGUGAUGUCGUUUGCAUGAAGUUUUGUCUCCGAGGAGAGGAGGCUUUAAUUUCUCUUGGUUCAUUCCAGAACAUGGUAGUCCAUGGAUCACCA
rnacentral:lncRNA from 1 species